GUGUCAGCCGCCGCGGUAAUACGUAGGGGGCAAGCGUUGUCCGGAUUUAUUGGGCGUAAAGCGCGUGUAGGCGGCCAUGUAGGUCUGACGUGAAAUUCCGAGGCUCAACCUCGGCAGGUCGUUGGAAACCAUAUGGCUAGAGUCCGGAAGAGGAGAGUGGAAUUCCUGGUGUAGCGGUGAAAUGCGCAGAUAUCAGGAAGAACACCAAUGGCGAAGGCAGCUCUCUGGGACGGUACUGACGCUGAGACGCGAAAGCGUGGGGAGCGAACAGGAUUAGAUACCCUCGUAGUCC
rnacentral:rRNA from 1 species